rnacentral:rRNA from 1 species
GGGUGAGUAACACGUAUCCAACCUGCCGAUGACUCGGGGAUAGCCUUUCGAAAGAAAGAUUAAUACCCGAUGGCAUAGUUCUUCCGCAUGGUGGAACUAUUAAAGAAUUUCGGUCAUCGAUGGGGAUGCGUUCCAUUAGGUUGUUGGCGGGGUAACGGCCCACCAAGCCUUCGAUGGAUAGGGGUUCUGAGAGGAAGGUCCCCCACAUUGGAACUGAGACACGGUCCAAACUCCUACGGGAGGCAGCAGUGAGGAAUAUUGGUCAAUGGACGAGAGUCUGAACCAGCCAAGUAGCGUGAAGGAUGACUGCCCUAUGGGUUGUAAACUUCUUUUAUACGGGAAUAAAGUGAGGCACGUGUGCCUUUUUGUAUGUACCGUAUGAAUAAGGAUCGGCUAACUCCGUGCCAGCAGCCGCGGUAAUACGGAGGAUCCGAGCGUUAUCCGGAUUUAUUGGGUUUAAAGGGAGCGUAGGCGGACGCUUAAGUCAGUUGUGAAAGUUUGCGGCUCAACCGUAAAAUUGCAGUUGAUACUGGGUGUCUUGAGUACAGUAGAGGCAGGCGGAAUUCGUGGUGUAGCGGUGAAAUGCUUAGAUAUCACGAAGAACUCCGAUUGCGAAGGCAGCUUGCUGGACUGUAACUGACGCUGAUGCUCGAAAGUGUGGGUAUCAAACAGGAUUAGAUACCCUGGUAGUCCACACAGUAAACGAUGAAUACUCGCUGUUUGCGAUAUACAGUAAGCGGCCAAGCGAAAGUCGUUAAGUAUUCCACCUGGGGAGUAC